rnacentral:rRNA from 1 species
GUAGGUGGCAAGCGUUGUCCGGAAUUAUUGGGCGUAAAGCGCGCGCAGGCGGUUUUUUAAGUCUGAUGUGAAAGCCCACGGCUCAACCGUGGAGGGUCAUUGGAAACUGGAGAACUUGAGUGCAGAAGAGGAGAGCGGAAUUCCACGUGUAGCGGUGAAAUGCGUAGAGAUGUGGAGGAACACCAGUGGCGAAGGCGGCUCUCUGGUCUGUAACUGACGCUGAGGCGCGAAAGCGUGGGGGGAGCAAACAGGAUUAGAUACCCUGGUAGUCCACGCCGUAAACGAUGAGUGCUAAGUGUUAGAGGGUUUCCCGCCCUUUAGUGCUGCAGCAACCGCAUUAAGCACUCCGCCUGGGAGUACGGUCGCAAGACUG